rnacentral:rRNA from 1 species
GGAUCCAGACUUUGUUCUGGCUCAGGAUGAACGCUAGCGGCAGGCUUAACACAUGCAAGUCGAGGGGCAGCGCGGGGCGGCAACGUCCUGGCGGCGACCGGCGGAAGGGUGCGUAACGCGUGAGCGACAUGCCCGUUGCCCGGGGACAACCGGUGGAAACGCCGACUAAUCCCCGAUGGGACGGAGGCCCUCAUGGGUCUCUGUUGAAAGUUACGGCGGCGACGGAUUGGCUCGCGUCCGAUUAGCUUGUUGGCGGGGUAACGGCCCACCAAGGCUACGAUCGGUAGGGGUUCUGAGAGGAAGGUCCCCCACAAUGGAACUGAGACACGGUCCAUACUCCUACGGGAGGCAGCAGUGAGGAAUAUUGGUCAAUGGGCGGAAGCCUGAACCAGCCAUGCCGCGUGCGGGAAGGAGGCCCUAUGGGCUGUGAACCGCUUUUGCCUGGGGGCAAUAAGGGCGUCGCGCACGUCCGAUGAGAGUACCAGGGGAAUAAGCAUCGGCUAACUCCGUGCCAGCAGCCGCGGUAAUACGGGGGAUGCGAGCGUUAUCCGGAUUCAUUGGGUUUAAAGGGUGCGUAGGCUGUGCGUCAAGUCAGGGGUGAAAUUCCGGGGCUCAACUCCGGGGCUGCCCUUGAUACUGUCGCGCUGGAGUGCGGAUGCCGCCGGAGGAAUGAGUGGCGUAGCGGUGAAAUGCUUAGAUAUCACUCAGAACACCGAUUGCGAAGGCAUCUGGCGAAUCCGUAACUGACGCUGAGGCACGAAAGCGUGGGGAUAGAACAGGAUUAGAUACCCUGGUAUUCCACGCCGUAAACGAUGAUGGCUAACCGCCGGCGACAUACUGUCGGUGGCCAAGCGAAAGCGAUAAGCCAUCCACCUGGGGAGUACGUCGGCA